rnacentral:lncRNA from 1 species
UCUAACAGUAUGUAGUGACAAUCUAGUAAAACUAAAAUAAACCUCUAGGUGUAGUUAAUGUGUGAUUCAGUCUCUCUAUCGUGAGUCUCGACUAGAUGGUAGAUCAUAUAUAAAUCAUCAAACCUUAACAUUAGUCAUAUGAUAGAUUCGAUCAGCUCAAGUCCAAAUAUGAUUUUUAUGAAAAAUUUUUUCCAUCAAUCAUACUACUGUGGCUACAGAUUCUUAAACUUAACCUCUCAAAUCUCAUAGGACUACUCUUUUGUACCAAAAUUGAUA